rnacentral:lncRNA from 1 species
AUUUUCAUGCCUCAGCCUCCUGAGUGGCUGGGAUUACACGCAUGUACCACCAUGCCCAGCUAAUUUUGUAAUAUUAGUAAAGAUAUGGUUUUGCUAUGUUGGCAAGGAUGAUUUCAAACUCCUGGCCUAAGUGAUCCGCCCAUCUCAGCCUCCCAAAGUGUUGAGAUGAAAACAUCACAGGAGCUGAUGAAAAAGGAAAAGGAGACAGCAAUGAUCCCAGGCCUUUUUAAAGGGAGAACAAGCUGAAAGCAGCAAAACACAACAGUUAAAUCUCUAAGACACUAAUCUCAGAAGUUUUAAAAGAAACUCAUUAUUGUAUCACAGGCAAAAUUUUUUGUUUUACUUGUUUUUUUUUUUUUGAGAUAGAGUCUCGCUUUGUCACCCAGGCUGGAGUGCAAUAGCAUGAUCUUGGCUCACUGCAACCUCCACCUCCUGGGUUUCAGCCAUUCUCCUGCCUCAGCCUCCUGAGUCGCUAGGGUUACAGGUACAUGCCACUGUGCCUGGCUAAUUUUUGUAUUUUUAGUAGAGACGAGGUUUUACUAUGUUUGCCAGACUGGUCUUCAACUCCUGACCUCAAAUGAUCCUCCCACCUUGGCCUCCCAAAGUGCUGGGAUUACAGGCAUGGGCCACCAUGCCCAGCCUUAAAGCUGUAUUUUUAUUAAGUAAAGCGUAGAGGAAAAAGUGUAAAUAAAGUGACAGAAGGAAAACACAAGGCUGUUAUGGAAAAUGAUAACCUUAGGGCAGAAAACAAGAAAAGGCAAACCAAGAUUUCCAUAGGGUGAGGCUCCAAUCCACAAUCCUCGGACGAAUGUCAAUGCUAAAAACCUUGGAGCAUCCAGGGAGUGGCCAACAGUACUAAAUGCUGAAAACCCAGAGUACACGAGUAUCAGCCUAUGAAUGUCCCACACCAAAUGCCAGGAAACCCUGGAGUAUCCAGGGGCUGACCAGUGCAGAAAAUCCUGGAGCCUCAGUGGGGUGGCCAACAAUGAGCCCCAAAGGCCCGGUUGGGGCCAUAGAACAAUGUGACUCUGGCUUCUUAGAGUCAACAGAACAGGAGAAUUCUUACAUCCAAGUGUCCUGCCUUAAACAAUUGCACAAACAUAAUUAGUAGGGACCCAAAGAAAAAACUGCAAAGCAAACACAUAUAUCGGGGCAGAAAAUAAGAUAAAAUGGCUGAUGGAUAAAUAAAAUGUCAUUAGAGGAGAAAUGACUAAGAGAAAGAUCAAUGAGGAUGUAGUCAGGUGUGCUAUGGGGGACUUCAAAUGGACUAUUUAGCCAAAGGCCUUAUUUCCUGGAUCAUCUGAUAUAGGGAAGGUGGGUAGAUGGGACACUUACAGGUGUGCAGGAGCCAAAAUGGUGCCAAGCAGUCUCUAACAUGAGGCCUGCAUGAAGAUCUCUCCAGGCUCCCCAGCUUGGGUGGGUUGAGCUCCCACGGGUGAACUGGUGCAUGGAGCGGCUGGCCUGCAUGAAGCAGUGGCUCUGUGGCCACUUACCUAUCUGCUCAGCUCCACUGCCUGUCAGGAAAGACGAUGGCUCUUCAAACAGCCUUUGGCCAGUCUUAACAGCUCUGCAAUGUUAGCAACUAUGUAGCUUUAAUCGCUGUAGCGCCGAUCUCGCCCUCUCUCACUGAUCGCUGACUUGCCACUUCUCCAAUAGCUGUCUCGCCCAUUGCUGAUCGCUAUGUCCAUCUUCUCACAAAAUGCCAUCUCUUGCUGUCUCUUGCUGUCUUGCUUCUCCACUGUUUCUGCUGUCUCACCACCACAUCAAACACUGCCUCUCACCAUGUCCCAUUUAUCCUCCCUCCUUAUUAAACAUCCAUCUGCAUGUCCAGGCCUGGCAUCCCCAGGCUGAUGUCUCUGUCCUGGGCCAGGUACUGGAGAGUAUUGUUCCUCCAACUUCACCAAUAAGCCAUGGUUCUCUCAAAUCAAACCUUCUUAGUGUGCCAAUUUUGCCAAGAAGGUUUGCUGUGCACUGGUUGCCAACUCACCCAAAUCUAGUGAGACAGAACACCCAUGCACAACCAGUUACAUGAAGUGGAUUACUACUUACAGAGUCAGCAAGAGAGAGCACAAAGCUGCCUGGGCCUGAUUGACUCUAGACCUUGCAUAACACAAAAGGACCGCAGCUGAGGGACCCUGGAAUGCAGCCCACCCUGGGUUUUAUGUCUUAGAAUCACAUGACACACUGGGCUACAGUGUUGAAGGAAUUCCUGUUUCUAGUAGGGACAGAAACAGAACCCAGGCUGUUCUGGCCAAUCAUGCCCUAUCUCAGAAUGUUACAGUUCCAGAACAUUCUACAGUUAUUCCUGAAAACUACAAUCAAGAAAAGGAAGGAGACUGGGUUAAUUCGUGACUAAAUGGAAACUGUUCUGCAAAUACCACAGUGAAAUCAAAACUCAGUAUUUUUGAGACUGGGUUAUUUCACUUAGUGUAAUGUCCUCUAGUUCCAUCCAUGUUGUAGCAUGUGUCAGAAUUUCCCUUUUUAAAACUAAAUAAUAUGGAAUAGUAUGUAUAUUACCACAUUUGGAUUACCAGUUCCCUCCUUUGUGAACAUUUGAGUUGCUUCUACAUUUGGCUACUGUGAAUAAUUUGCUUCUGAAUGUGGAUAUACAAAUAUCUCCUCAAUUUAAUGUCUUCCAUUACUUGGGUAUAUGUCCAAAAGUGGAAUUGCUGAAUUAUAUAGUAUUUCUAUUUUUAAUCCUUCGAGGAAUUGCCAUCUUGUUUCCCACAGCAGGUGGGCCAUUUACAUCACCACGACAGUGUCCACAGGAGUUCCAGUUCCCUAAAUUCUCACCAAGACUGGUCACCCUCUGUUGGAAAAAAACAUUCUAACAGGCAUCAGUUUCUGGCAAUACUUUCUCUAUGGUAGAGUCUGGAAAGGCUACUCCUCAUGUCCUUGGCUUCCUAAGUCCCAGAUGUGGUGAAGAAUGCCCAUCAACUGUGCUACUACAGAGUGCUUUUGGAUUGAGAUGAGGGAGGAGAAAUGGCUGAACUCACUCAAAUGUGAUCAUUUUCUUGGUCUAGGUCACAGCCAGGCAACACAGUCCUCUGGGCACAAUAUCAUCACUUGCCAUGUUUCUAUCAAAAUGAAAGUAUCUUUCUUGACUGUGGAAAACAUAGGGGUGGGGGCGGGGAGGGUCAAGUAAUAGCAAAAGGAGUACUUGGAGUUGCCUGAGCUGCCACUCUGGUUUCCCCAAAUGUUUUCAAUCCAUUUCAUUCAUGAUAAUAAACACCUUUCUGCCUAACCAGUCAUAAUGACUUUUCUCAGAUCCAACUGAUUCAGUGAUAAACCUAUAGAGAAAAAAUAAAUACACUUCUCCAUGUUUGAGCUGACCAGGAUGCUGUCCCUGGUGUUUGCACCUCCAUAUCCCACUAUGCGUUUCAUCUUCUCUUUGCCUCACUGGUGAUCCAAGUACAGGGAAUGCUUCACAUGACUGUGAUCCCUAGAACUUCAUCCUGAUGACGGUUGAAAUCUUCUCUGAGUUUUACCAGUGGAAAUGGCAAUAAAUAGAAACAUUCCAGAAGGUCCCCUAGGUUCCAUAUUUUCUGUACUUCCUCUCUAAAAUAUGUAAAAUCAAUUAUGUUUGCUCUUGCUUUUAUGGACUAUAUCUAUGGCCCCAGCACACAUCCUAAUGUCCUGUCUUGACAAUUUAUCCAGUAUUUUAAUAAAUGUAAAUGGUCACAUGCUUAUCAUAUCAUUUCUUCCAAUUUCAUGGAAUAAUUUCACAUCAACUCUUUGGAUUAAGAGCCGUCAACCAGAAAACCACAGCCCUGAAUAAAUAGAAAUAGAGUAUUUCAAGCUGUUCAUUUGGCAUAACAAUGAUGAGUCUACAGCUCAUUUUCAAGAUAUAAAUAUUCUGUUUAUGGGAGUGACAGCACCAUUCAUACAGUUACUGUUUCAGAGCCUCCACCAUAUCUGACAGGACAGCAAUUCAAUAGCAGAAGGGUUUGUGUGCCAGCUUUGCUUGACUAAUAAUGGGUUUUUCUCUGUCCAUAGGGAAAGCACAUGACAAGAGCAUGAGCUACACUUCACUUCACUUUUUUUGAGGUUAAUAAGUUGCUUGAUCCAAAGCUAUAUUACAGAAGAACUUCCUGACUCUGAUGAAAGCUCUUGGAAAAUCCUCAAAUAAUAUUUUAUGCAGAAAUAUAACCAAAAAGGAAGGCAAAUUCAUAUAUAGGAAAAUAACCAGUGCCCUCCUCACGUUACAUGAGGUCUACUAGUAUCACCCGACACCAGCUGUUAGUCUGGGCCCUGAUGUGUGGCGCAAUGUUAGGGGUUCAAGAGACGUUAUUCUUCUUGACAAAAUAGGUGUUCAGAAGAGCCAGUAGCCCUGUAUGUCUCAGUUAGUUGAAACUCAUAUUAUUGAGUCCCCACAGGGACCUCCAUAACCUUGGUUCAGGAGACACCUUGGAAACCUGGGAAAGGUGAUUGACUGAAGUCCAUCUGUUGAAUCAUCCUCAUUAUUAAAAGCCUCCUACUCAUUAACGGCAUUUCGAUUAAUAUUCACUUGGAAAGCAUGUUUUUAUUUUGGCUCAUUUUUGAAACGUCUAGUCAUAGUUCUUUCUGAAUCACUUUGUCUGAAAUCAUCCUGUUGCAUUUCUUUUAAGGGCUGAUGAUCUGUCAAAAGCAACAGCCAAUAUUAUUACAUUGCUGUUCUCUUUGCAAUGUUAUCAUCAGAUGUAAUCCUUGCAGGUUAACCACUGUUACGAAUUUUACAUUUCCAGGGAUUUCUUGACAAUGGCACUGAUGUGACGCCAUCCAGCAUCUAUUUGUGAGAACUCUAUUUGACAAAUCAUCACUGUGGGUGUGAACAUAAUGGAGACUUUCAUAGGAUGCUAUGGUUAAUAUUCAACUUUAGUCAAAAUUUACUCUAGUCCUACCCUUGGAGCUCUACUGGGUUCGAAAAAUAUUUUAGAUAAGGACAAUCAUUUCAUAGAGUUUUAAAAAUAAAGGCUAAAAGAAAUUUUCUGUAGCAACAGUAUGAACUAUAUGUAGCCAGCAUACCCUUUUUUAAUGGAAUAUAACAAAAAUUAUUUAAAUGUAUUUAAUUUAAAUAAUUGUAUAAAUAUGCAUAUAUAAUAAAUAAACGUACUUAAAUAUAAAUACUAUACAUGUAUAUUUGUAGCCAACAUUUCAUCAGAUAAAUAUAGGUAGCUUUUAUGUAUCUUAUACACAUAUAUGCACAUUUUCCACA